rnacentral:rRNA from 1 species
UACGUAGGGGGCAAGCGUUGUCCGGAUUCAUUGGGCGUAAAGAGCUCGUAGGCGGCUUGGCAAGUCGGGUGUGAAAACUCCAGGCUCAACCUGGAGACGCCACCCGAUACUGCCAUGGCUAGAGUCCGGUAGGGGACCACGGAAUUCCUGGUGUAGCGGUGAAAUGCGCAGAUAUCAGGAGGAACACCGGUGGCGAAGGCGGGUCUCUGGGCAGUAACUGACGCUGAGGAGCGAAAGCGUGGGGAGCGAACAGG